rnacentral:rRNA from 1 species
UACAGAGGUGCCAAGCGUUAGGCGGAAUCACUGGGCUUAAAGCGCGCGUAGGCGGAUGUUUAAGUGUCUUGUGAAAUCCCACGGCUCAACCGUGGAACUGCUGGGCAUACUGGACAUCUCGAGGCACUCAGGGGCGAGCGGAACAAGUGGUGGAGCGGUGAAAUGCGUAGAUAUCAGGAGGAACACCGGUGGCGAAAGCGCUUGUCUGGCCCAAUACUGACGCUGAGGCGCGAAAGCUAGGGGAGCAAACGGG